rnacentral:rRNA from 1 species
UACGUAGGGGGCAAGCGUUGUCCGGAAUCAUUGGGCGUAAAGCGCGUGUAGGCGGCCCGGUAAGUCCGCUGUGAAAGUCGAGGGCUCAACCCUCGGAUGCCGGUGGAUACUGUCGGGCUAGAGUGCGGGAGAGGCGAGUGGAAUUCCUGGUGUAGCGGUGAAAUGCGCAGAUAUCAGGAGGAACACCAAUUGCGAAGGCAGCUCGCUGGAACGUAACUGACGCUGAGACGCGAAAGCGUGGGGAGCAAACAGG